UGGGGAAUAUUGCACAAUGGGCGCAAGCCUGAUGCAGCGACGCCGCGUGGGGGAUGAAGGCCUUCGGGUUGUAAACUCCUUUCGCUUGGGACGAAGCCCACUUGUGGGUGACGGUACCUUGAGAAGAAGCACCGGCUAACUACGUGCCAGCAGCCGCGGUAAUACGUAGGGUGCGAGCGUUGUCCGGAAUUACUGGGCGUAAAGAGCUCGUAGGUGGUUUGUCGCGUCGUCUGUGAAAUCCCGGGGCUUAACUUCGGGCGUGCAGGCGAUACGGGCAUAACUUGAGUGCUGUAGGGGAGACUGGAAUUCCUGGUGUAGCGGUGAAAUGCGCAGAUAUCAGGAGGAACACCGAUGGCGAAGGCAGGUCUCUGGGCAGUAACUGACGCUGAGGAGCGAAAGCAUGGGUAGCGAACAGG
rnacentral:rRNA from 1 species